rfam:Toxocara canis scaffold1068, whole genome shotgun sequence.
UGGACAGUAGCUCAAUGGUAGAGCUCCCGAUUUGUAUGCGGGAAUACCUGGGUUCGAUUCCCGGCUGCUUAC